ncrna:unclassified sequences PGK RNA
UAGAAGUCUUAUCUGCGCUAAGUAUAAACAAUUGUUAUUGAGAAAGAAAACUCAAAAGAUAAGAAACUUAACUAAAUACUGAUAAUAUUUAG